AUCAGAGGGGGAUAACAUCCGGAAACGGAUGCUAAAACCGCAUAGGUCUUCGAACCGCAUGGUUUGAAGAGGAAAAGAGGCGCAAGCUUCUGCUGAUGGAUGGACCCGCGGUGCAUUAGCUAGUUGGUGAGGUAACGGCUCACCAAGGCCGUGAUGCAUAGCCGACCUGAGAGGGUGAUCGGCCACAUUGGGACUGAGACACGGCCCAAACUCCUACGGGAGGCAGCAGUAGGGAAUCUUCCGCAAUGGACGCAAGUCUGACGGAGCAACGCCGCGUGAGUGAAGAAGGUUUUCGGAUCGU
rnacentral:rRNA from 1 species